rnacentral:lncRNA from 1 species
GAUGAAGAGAGGAUUAUGACCAUGGACCUUACUGCCAUGCUAGAUGAGUAAAAGAAAUACUACAUGUGCUUGCGGGCUGAGAUCAUGAGCCGACUAUCUAUGCCUAGUACUUAGUAUUCGAUUCUUCUAAAUAGUAUUAGUAGAAAUUGUUCUGUUACUGUUCUGCAACUUGGCAUGUCUCUGUUAUGCAAAUUCAACAUGUUUUCAUGUUUCAUAUUUGAAUCAUACUGGAAGCUGUUCAUGUUUUUUUUUUCACGUGGACCUUAC